UGACCUUGGCCUUGGAAGUGAAGAAAGACUUGGGGAAGAGUUGGAUGGGGAGGUGGGAGGAUAGCAGGGGGGAUCCUCCUUCCUGUCUUUUAUGGUUUGGAAUCCA